AGAGUUUGAUCAUGGCUCAGGAUGAACGCUAGCGAUAGGCUUAACACAUGCAAGUCGAGGGGUAACGGGUGAGAAGCUUGCUUCUUAUGCCGACGACCGGCGGAUGGGUGAGUAACGCGUAUGUAACUUACCUCUGAGAGGGGGAUAACCCGGAGAAAUCCGGACUAAUACCGCAUAUGCUCACAGUGUUGCAUGACACAGUGAGGAAAGAUAUCCGCUCAGAGAUAGGCAUGCGUUCCAUUAGUUAGUUGGUGAGGUCACGGCUCACCAAGACAUCGAUGGAUAGGGGCGCUGAGAGGCGUGACCCCCACACUGGGACUGAGACACGGCCCAGACUCCUACGGGAGGCAGCAGUGAGGAAUAAUGGUCAAUGGAGGCAACUCUGAACCUGCCAAGUCGCGUGAAGGAAGACUGCCCUAUGGGCUGUAAACUUCUUUAGUAGGUGAGUAGAAGCGGGUACGUGUACCCGUAGGCAAGUAACCUAAGAAUAAGUAUCGGCUAACUCCGUGCCAGCAGCCGCGGUAAUACGGAGGAUACGAGCGUUAUCCGGAUUUAUUGGGUUUAAAGGGUGCGUAGGUUGCUGUUUAAGUUGAUGGUGAAAAGCUGUGGCUCAACCAUGGUCUUGCCGUCAAAACUGGAUAGCUUGAGUGUAGAUGAUGUAGGCGGAACGCGUAGUGUAGCGGUGAUAUGCAUAGAUAUUACGCAGAACUCCGAUUGCGAAGGCAGCUUACAAAGUUACAACUGACACUGAGGCACGAAAGCGUGGGUAUCACACAGGAUUAGGUACCCUGGUAGUCCACGCCGUAAACUAUGAUUACUCAGAGUAUGCGAUAUACAGUAUGCUCUCAAGCGAA
rnacentral:rRNA from 1 species